GUAAAUAAAAGGAAAGCCCUUUUCGUGGGUUUAAACCCAGUCUGCUUCCGGUCUCCUCAUUUCGACAUGUAGGGAUCUUUAACAUCUUUUACCAGCCAUUAGCUGUGUUUAUGCAGUUCGGUGUGUCGUGGUUCAAACGUCACCCUUAUUAUAGUUAGCAUGGUAGUUUAACGUAGCUCCUGUCGGAGCGCCAGCUGUCGCCGUCACAGCUAUUAAAGACGCUCUCAUGAUUUUCGUAUGUGCCAUCGUGAGUAUCACGUCAUCGGAUCACGGCAGGGUCCUCGAUGUUGCAUGCGUUAAGGCGGGCUGAGUGAGGUGUGGUCAUAUCGGUAUAGCUCCUCCCCCUCACUCGUGGAGCCACGUUGCUGCUUCAUACUCUGAUUUGGUUUUAUUGUUAUUUUGCUUUGUGUUGGUUGCGGUUACUGAGAUCAGUUUUCUUUAAUUCACUGUGUUGUAACAGUCUUUAUCAGUUAUACUGAUACUGCUAUGUGGCAGUAGUGGUUUUGGUCAGUCUUGGUAAGCUUGCUACCUGUAAUCAGUUUGAGCUCGAGGUUCUGUGUGUUUGUGACGGAGCUGGGUGCUUCCUGAGGCUGGGGGGAGUUCUUUGCUGCACCUUUAGGCUUUAAUUAAUUAAGGCUCGUUAUUGCUGUUUAUUUGCAGUGAAUUUUGUGGGUAUGAUUCUGAUUGGUGUGGUUCUUCUCCCUUUUGUACAGCUGGUGCUGUCGUACUAGCCUCAUACAGGAAGCCUCAGUCCUCCUAGUCUUAUUAACUUUCUCUUGUGACUGUUUUAUUGACCAAUGCCUGACUGCGUUGGCUGCUUCUUUUAAAAUAAUUCUUGGCCAGUC
ensembl:lncRNA